CUUUGCUGGCGACCGGCGCACGGGUGAGUAACACGUAUCCAACCUGCCCUUUACUCGGGGAUAGCCUUUCGAAAGAAAGAUUAAUACCCGAUAGCAUAAUGAUUCCGCAUGGUUUCAUUAUUAAAGGAUUCCGGUAAAGGAUGGGGAUGCGUUCCAUUAGGUUGUUGGUGAAGUAACGGCUCACCAAGCCUUCGAUGGAUAGGGGUUCUGAGAGGAAGGUCCCCCACAUUGGAACUGAGACACGGUCCAA
rnacentral:rRNA from 1 species